UCUUAAACUGCUGGAAUUGUUAUUACAUUUGUUUGCGAGUACUUGCCUCAUCUCAAAAUGCUGAACACUUCAGUUGCUUUAAGACUGAGAUUUUUAAGACUAGAAGUCUGUUUUUACAGCACUGAAAAUGUUCCAGAUGCUUAAUGAAGCACUCAGCACUUACAAGCCAGGACAAGACACAGAGGAGAAGAGAGAACAAGGCUUUUUUGUACGUCUCCUCAUAGAAGGGAAAAAGUCAAUAGCGUUCUGCCCGUGGCUGUCUGGAGCACCUCCUGAAAGUUUUGAAUUGAUCCGCCAGAGCGGGCAAAGUUGCUGCGUUGUGCAGGUGCCGGCGUGCCUCUGUUUGCUAGGAGGUAAGGGUCACGCUGUCACUCAAGCAAUAAGAACCGACUUGUUUGAUCAAAACACAGGCAGCCAUUCACCUCCCCGAAGAGCCUGUUUGCGGCAUCAUGUUUACAGGGAGGCCUGACUGAGCACUGUUUUCAGCUUGGAGGAAAAUAGAUAUCUUAUUUUUGCCAACAUCCAGCGGGCAUAUGAAACACUGCGAGCAGAGGGAGGCGGGGGCCGAAGCGGUGCGUGCUCAGGGAAGGUGGAGGAGGAGAUCUGCCUGAUAAAGACGGACUUGAAAGGCUGACACAGCUUUGCUGUCUGCAGUCCCCGUAAAACCCUCUAAUGGACAGAGGGGGCCUUUCAUAGACCAGGCUUGGAAGCCUGGCUUACUCCCCAGUUUCUGAUUUAACAAUUUAGUUUUACUUCCAAUGUUAGAUGAAUGGCGAAAACAUAAGGGAGCAGAGAGAGGAGACUGUUGCUUUGCGGCAGGGAGACGACACCUUCUCAGAACCCUUUACAAGUUAUAUUAUUGCUCUUUAUUUAUUUACACAGUUCCGCCUUGAUCCUGUUGUUUUUACCUAUUGGUAAAAAGAGAGCUGAAUUGAUAGGGAGGAGAAGCUCUUCUGGAGAGUACCUGCUUCAGUAAGAGAUUUUUAAAAUGGUCACUUGAGAAGGAAACAAGAUGAGAGUGUGCUCCUUCUGAUUCCUCUACAAUGUAGGAAGAUACCCUGAAAAGUUGUCUUUUUAAAUAUAUUUUUUUUGCUUGCUUUUACUUUUGAAAUUAUAUUGCUCCCCUGGAAUAUGUUUUACAACUGCUAAGUUCAAAUAGCAAAAUUCUGUUAGCAGGAGAAAGCUUGUAACUUCCAUAAGAAAUAUUGCCUGAAAGUGCUGUGAGCGCUUCGCAAGAGACGGAACAGGAUCUCUGCGCUACAGUGCUUACAUGCUAAAUGUGAUAAAACUAAUGGAAAUGACUGUGAGUGGGGCUAGAAGAGAAAGUAGAAGACGGAAUAGUCCUAUUACCUGGUUAUUUGGUUUAGGCUUUGCUAGGCUAGUUCUGUUGAAUGCUUCUCUCUCUGAAGAAGACGGCUUCUUGGCCAUCCCAUGGUCCUAUGGCUAAAAUCCCACAGCAGGUCAAACUGGAAAGAUUUUCACCGUUUCAGCCAAGGGGCUGGUCAGAAUAUCAACACUUGCACUAAAAGUAAAGGACCUAGAGGAAAGGAGUUGUACUAGGCCUUAGAGGUGAACCAAAGAAACCUAAUUUGAAAUUAAGAUGACUGUGACAGAGAGGUUCUUGGAAUUUUCUGAGUCAGCUUAACAGCUUUUUAUUAACAAAGUCUGUGACAAAUGCUUAUCUCAAUGUCAUUCUCCAUAAAAGCAAGCUUAAAAUGGGAACGAGAAGCUCAACUGAAUGCUGCUUGGUAGGUUGCUGCAGUGUCUAAGUUUUAUAUGCUCUUUUGACUACAUGGCUAUAUUGCAGAAAAAGGUUACAGCAAUUUAAACUGGAAAUGCUCAAAAUCCAGAUGAAAGGUUUGAUUUUUGAAACACAGAGGAAGAUUGUGCUCUGGGCACAUGCCAAAAGUGAGUUGAAACCACCUUAGCUUGAUUUGAACUUGCUUCAUCUGAGAAGGAAUCAGCUGGGAGAAGAAGAUAUGAGGGGAAAAAAAAUCUACGGUAACAGGAAAUUACUUUUCUCCUGCCUUCGUUCUGGGUAUUGCUUAGACGUCCUGUGAGGUCCUCCGUGCUCUACUGUGCCUUUCCCUGGCAUGCCUGUUGCUAAAGCAGCCAAGAGCAGAGGGGCUGGCAAGGCACGUGCUGUCAGGAGACAAGAAGAAACAUUGUGCAGAGAAAAUGCAGCUGUUCAGUUCUCACCAGCCACUGGGUCUCUUCCUUGGUUUCCUCUCACAACCCACCACCUCCGUCAGCUCUAGACUCGCAACCUGUCCCGUGGACAUGGGAAGUGAGCAAAGCUGCAUCUUCGAUCCCUUUUUCUUCAGGGAAGUCAUCUUUUCUUCAUAUGCUGCUUCUGGCUCCAAAGGGGAAAGGGGACCUCUCUCCCUGCCCUCCUGCAGAGGCAGCUUGGGAAGUAGGGGGGUGCCCAGGUGUGUGCUCCUGCGAUAGCACUGCUCUGCAUCUCCAGGCCAGGCUGGUGUGAAGACCUAAUCAUUAAAACUGACUGGAGAAAUGACUUUCAAACCCUUUGUUUAGCAAAAGGUGGCUAAACUAGCCAACGUUAUCGCCAACGUAAGUUCAGCGUAUGUGUCUUUGUCUCUGCUGGGAAGUUCAGGAGUCUGGUUUAAAAUGAAUUGAUGUAGGUGGCAUUGCUGGAUCUUGCACGAGCUGGUAUAACUUAAGGACCACGCAAAUAAACAUCCAUUUCUUUGUAUUGCUAUACA
rnacentral:lncRNA from 1 species